rnacentral:tRNA from 1 species
ACCCGUUUGCUCUACUGGCAAGAGCGCUCCACUGGAAAUGGAGAGGUCCUUGGUUCUAUACCAGGAGCAGGCG